UACAGAGGUCUCAAGCGUUGUUCGGAUUCAUUGGGCGUAAAGGGUGCGUAGGCGGCGCGGUAAGUCGGGUGUGAAAUCUCGGAGCUUAACUUCGAAACUGCAUUCGAUACUGCCGUGCUUGAGGACUGGAAAGGAGACUGGAAUUUACGGUGUAGCGGUGAAAUGCGUAGAUAUCGUAAGGAAGACCAGUGGCGAAGGCGGGUCUCUGGACAGUUCCUGACGCUGAGGCACGAAGGCCAGGGGAGCAAACGGG
rnacentral:rRNA from 1 species